rnacentral:misc_RNA from 1 species
GAUGAAGAACGUAGCGAAAUGCGAUAAGUAAUGUGAAUUGCAGAAUUCAGUGAAUCAUCGAAUCUUUGAACGCACAUUGCGCCCGCCAGCAUUCUGGCGGGCAUGCCUGUUCGAGCGUCAUUUCAACCCUCGAGCCCCCCCGGGGGCCUCGGUGUUGGGGGACGGCACACCAGCCGCCCCCGGAAUGCAGUGGCGACCCCGCCGCAGCCUCCCCUGCGUAGUAGCACACACCUCGCACCGGAGCGCGGAGGCGGUCACGCCGUAAAACGCCCAACUUUCUUAGAGUUGACCUCGGAUCAGGUAGGAAUACCCGCUGAACUUAAGCAUAUCAAUAAGCGGAGGA